rnacentral:tRNA from 1 species
UACGCGUUAGCCUAAUGGUAAGGCGUUGUGUUUCGGCCACAGAGGUUACAGGUUCAAAUCUUGUACGCGUUU